rnacentral:tRNA from 1 species
GGAGGGGUGCCGGAGUGGUUGAACGGGGCAGUCUCGAAAAUUGUUGUUCCGGUUCUCGGAACCGUGGGUUCGAAUCCCACCCCCUCCG